GACAUCCCGAUGCUAUUUCUAGAGAUAGAAAGUUACUUCGGUACAUUGGUGACAGGUGGUGCAUGGUUGUCGUCAGCUCGUGUCGUGAGAUGUUGGGUUAAGUCCCGCAACGAGCGCAACCCCUAUUGUUAGUUGCCAUCAUUCAGUUGGGCACUCUAGCGAGACUGCCGGUAAUAAACCGGAGGAAGUGGGGAUGACGUCAAAUCAUCAUGCCCCUUAUGACCUGGGCUACACACGUGCUACAAUGGUUGGUACAACGAGUUGCGAGUCGGUGACGGCGAGCUAAUCUCUUAAAGCCAAUCUCAGUUCGGAUUGUAGGCUGCAACUCGCCUACAUGAAGUCGGAAUCGCUAGUAAUCGCGGAUCAGCACGCCGCGGUGAAUACGUUCCCGGGCCUU
rnacentral:rRNA from 1 species